rnacentral:rRNA from 1 species
CCUACGGGCGGCAGCAGUGGGGAAGAUUGCACAAUGGGGGAAACCCUGAUGCAGCGACGCCGCGUGAGCGAUGAAGGAUUUCGGGAUGGAAAGCUCUAUCAGCAGGGAAGAAAAUGACGGUACCUGACUAAGAAGCCCCGGCUAACUACGGGACAGCAGCCGCGGUAAUACGUAGGGGGCAAGCGUGAUCCGGAUUUACUGGGUGUACCGGGAGCGUAGACGGCUUGGCAAGCCAGAUGUGAAAGGCUGGGGCUCAACCCCAGGACUGCCUUUGGAACUGUCAUGCUAGAGUGUCGGAGUGGCUGGCGGACUUCCUUGUGUAGCGGUGAACUUCUUAGCUCUUAGGCGGACCCCCAGUGGCGACGGCGGCCUGCUGGACUAUGCCUGACGUUGAGGCUCGAACGCGUGGGUAUCAAACCGGAUUAGCUACCCUAGUAGUC